UAACUGAAGAGUUUGAUCAUGGCUCAGAUUGAACGCUGGCGGCAGGCUUAACACAUGCAAGUCGAGCGGGGGAAGGUAGCUUGCUACCGGACCUAGCGGCGGACGGGUGAGUAAUGCUUAGGAAUCUGCCUAUUAGUGGGGGACAACAUCUCGAAAGGGAUGCUAAUACCGCAUACGUCCUACGGGAGAAAGCAGGGGAUCUUCGGACCUUGCGCUAAUAGAUGAGCCUAAGUCGGAUUAGCUAGUUGGUGGGGUAAAGGCCUACCAAGGCGACGAUCUGUAGCGGGUCUGAGAGGAUGAUC
rnacentral:rRNA from 1 species